rnacentral:rRNA from 1 species
UACGUAGGUGGCAAGCGUUGUCCGGAUUUACUGGGCGUAAAGAGCGCGCAGGCGGCUGGUCAAGUCCGAUGUGAAAUCUCCCGGCCCAACUGGGAAACUGCAUCGGAAACUGAUCGACUCGAAGGCAGGAGAGGGUAGUGGAAUUCCCGGUGUAGUGGUGAAAUGCGUAGAUAUCGGGAGGAACACCGGUGGCGAAGGCGACUACCUGGCCUGUUCUUGACGCUGAGGCGCGAAAGCUAGGGGAGCAAACGGG